rnacentral:rRNA from 3 species
GCAAGGUUAAAACUCAAAUGAAUUGACGGGGGCCCGCACAAGCGGUGGAGCAUGUGGUUUAAUUCGAUGCAACGCGAAGAACCUUACCUGGUCUUGACAUCCACAGAACUUUCCAGAGAUGGAUUGGUGCCUUCGGGAACUGUGAGACAGGUGCUGCAUGGCUGUCGUCAGCUCGUGUUGUGAAAUGUUGGGUUAAGUCCCGCAACGAGCGCAACCCUUAUCCUUUGUUGCCAGCGGUCAGGCCGGGAACUCAAAGGAGACUGCCAGUGAUAAACUGGAGGAAGGUGGGGAUGACGUCAAGUCAUCAUGGCCCUUACGACCAGGGCUACACACGUGCUACAAUGGCGCAUACAAAGAGAAGCGACCUCGCGAGAGCAAGCGGACCUCAUAAAGUGCGUCGUAGUCCGGAUUGGAGUCUGCAACUCGACUCCAUGAAGUCGGAAUCGCUAGUAAUCGUGGAUCAGAAUGCCACGGUGAAUACGUUCCCGGGCCUUGUACACACCGCCCGUCACACCAUGGGAGUGGGUUGCAAAAGAAGUAGGUAGCUUAACCUUCGGGAGGGCGCUUACCACUUUGUGAUUCAUGACUGGGGUGAAGUCGUAACAAGGUAACCGUAGGGGAACCUGCGGUUGGA